rnacentral:rRNA from 1 species
GUGCCAGCAGCCGCGGUAAGACGUAGGGGGCAAGCGUUGUCCGGAAUUACUGGGCGUAAAGGGCGUGUAGGCGGUACGUUACGUAGCGGUUUUAAGCCUCCGGCUCACCCGGAGGAGGGCGGCUAAACGGACGCACUGGAGGGCAGGAGAGGUGCACGGAAUUCCUGGUGGAGCGGUGAAAUGCGUAGAGAUCAGGAAGAACACCCGUGGCGAAGGCGGUGCACUGGCCUGUCCCUGACGCUGAGGCGCGAUAGCGUGGGGAGCAAACGGGAUUAGAUACCCCGGUAGUCCACGCCGUAAACGAUGGGUACUAGGUGUCGCGGGGUUCCCCCCCGCGGUGCCGGAGCUAACGCACUAAGUACCCCGCCUGGGGAGUACGGCCGCAAGGUUGAAACUCAAAGGAAUUGACGGGGGCCCGCACAAGCAGUGGAGCAUGUGGUUUAAUUCGACGCAACGCGCAGAACCUUACCAAGACUAGACGGGACCGUGAGUCCCCCGAAAGGGGGAGGCUUCUUCGGAAGAGCGGUCGUCAGGUGCUGCAUGGUUGUCGUCAGCUCGUGUCGUGAGAUGUUGGGUUAAGUCCCGCAACGAGCGCAACCCCCGUCGUGUGUUGCCAGCGGUUCGGCCGGGCACUCACACGAGACUGCCGGUGACAAACCGGAGGAAGGUGGGGAUGACGUCAAAUCCGCAUGGCCUUUAUGUCUUGGGCUACACACGUGCUACAAUGGCGCCGACAACGGGCCGCCACGGCGCGAGCCGGAGCGAAUCCUUCAAACGGCGUCUCAGUUCGGAUUGCAGGCUGCAACUCGCCUGCAUGAAGCCGGAAUUGCUAGUAAUCGCGGAUCAGCAUGUCGCGGUGAAUUCGUUCCCGGGCCUUGUACACACCGCCCGUCACACCACGAGAGCUGACCACACCCGAAGCCGGUCGGUCGAACCCGCAAGGGACGAUCCCGUCGACGGUGGGGUGGGUGAUUGGGAUGGAGUCGUAACAAGGUAACC